GGUGCGCAGUUUGCAGAGGGACAGUGCCCAAAGAACAACUGCUGGCCGGCCAGGGAGCUCACGAGCGCAGGUGGUGCGCUGCGUGAGGGGCAGGUCUUCGCUAGCACACGGGUUCUCUGGCCCCAUGAGUGGAGUUCGACGGUAAUCCUCGCUACAAGU
rnacentral:snoRNA from 1 species